GAAUUUUAUAUAGAUUAAUAAAUUUAGUAUAUAAAAUAAAUUAUUAAUUAUAUUUAGUUGGGAGGAUUGUUAUAUAUAUUUAACUAUAACUUUUUAAAAUGUCAUUAAUUAAUGAUUAGUAAGAGUAGUUAAUUUAAUUAAAAAAGAAAUAAUUACCUUAGGGAUAACAGCGUAAUAUUUUUGGAUAGUUCAUAUAAAUAAAAUUGAUUAC
rnacentral:rRNA from 1 species